rnacentral:misc_RNA from 1 species
GAAAUAUUGGGGAAAUUUUACAGUUAUAUGCAGUGAAUAGAUAUACGCAGAGACAUUCUCUCCGUUGUCAAUUGCUCAGUGUCCUUGCUGUCAGCUCCUUUGCCCUUUUCUCUGUUCAACUGAAAGAGGAAGAUGAAAUCAAGGGAUAGAGACGAUAAAUUCAAGAGCUGGAGAUGGGGAUGGUGAGACGAAUGCAUCAAUUGCUCGUGGGGGCCUAUUUACGUUCCCAAUUUGGUUGGGCCUCUCACUUUCUGCUGUUCUCCAUAAACUCCAGGAUGUGAAGAAGAGCAAAAGUUCCAUGUAGCAUCCCGAGGGGGCUUGAAUGCAAGGUGUGUCGUGGAGGAGAGAAAAUGGUAUUAGGGUUUUGAGCAAUGAUACACAUUUGGAAAGCUCUAGAGGAAGGGAUCCUUCAGCUGCUUUGGAAUCAUUAAUGGAGAAACCUGUUGCAAUGAAACUAUUGUUAACAAGUCAAGGAAAAGAAGACCUUGGAAAUCUUCAGAUGGAUCUCAUACUGGAACCAGCUGUAAUGGAACAACAAAUGAAUGCAAUCCAAGGGAAAAGGAAAGAAGGAGAGUUGCCUUGUGAAGGUGGAUGAACUGUUGAAAAUCAAACAAAAGCAGGAU